rnacentral:rRNA from 1 species
UACGUAGGGGGCAAGCGUUGUCCGGAUUUAUUGGGCGUAAAGAGCGUGUAGGCGGCCAGACAGGUCCACUGUGAAAAUUCGAGGCUCAACCUCGAGAGGUCGGUGGAAACCGUCUGGCUAGAGUCCGGAAGAGGAGAGUGGAAUUCCCGGUGUAGCGGUGAAAUGCGCAGAUAUCAGGAGGAACACCGGUGGCGAAGGCGGGUCUCUGGGCCGAUACUGACGCUGAGGAGCGAAAGCGUGGGAGCGAACAGG